rnacentral:rRNA from 1 species
UACGUAGGGGGCAAGCGUUGUCCGGAUUUAUUGGGCGUAAAGAGCGUGUAGGCGGCUCGGUAAGUCCGCUGUAAAAGUCCAGGGCUCAACCCUGGAAAGCCGGUGGAAACUGUCGAGCUAGAGUCCGGAAGAGGCGAGUGGAAUUCCUGGUGUAGCGGUGAAAUGCGCAGAUAUCAGGAGGAACACCAAUGGCGAAGGCAGCCCUGGCGUAGGAC